GUCCACGCCGUAAACGAUGUCGACUAGCCGUUGGGGUCCUUGACACUUUAGUGGCGCAGCUAACGCAUUAAGUCGACCGCCUGGGGAGUACGGCCGCAAGGUUAAACUCAAAUGAAUUGACGGGGGCCCGCACAAGCGGUGGAGCAUGUGGUUUAAUUCGAUGAUACGCGAGGAACCUUACCUGGGCUUGAAAGUUAGUGACGUUCUGUGAAAGCAGAAUUCCCUUCGGGGCACAAACUAGGUGCUGCAUGGCUGUCGU
rnacentral:rRNA from 1 species